UUUUAUUGUUCUUUGAUUCUAUUUGCGAAUCAUCUGAUCAAUCGUUGUAACUUGGAUUUUCGGGUUCUUCAAUCGGCUUGGUAAGUAGAGCUUCGCUUAUCUUUAACGAUCAGUAUUUUGGGUUGCUAGCAAUGUUUUUGUAGCCUUUAAUAAGUGGGUUCUGCGUUUAGAAGGUUGUGCAGCAAGGAAUUAUGGUCCAAUAGCCUAAUCUGUGAUAUUGGUUUUCUAUUUGUCAGCCUAAAACGAUUGGAUUUUAUUUCGAGGCAUCGUUUUGGAAUAAUUUUGUUUGAGUUUCGUAAAUGUUUACUGAAAUUGGUCGUUGGAAUGCUGUUUUCAGGGUUCGGUGCUCUUAGGGUUGAUUUUGUAUAAAAACGAACCAGGUGUGUAACAAAAACACGAAAAAUUGAGUUUUGACGAAAGCUGAAAAAGUGGCCUAUCGACACUACACGGUCGUGUGACGGGUGAGUGUGUGGCCAUAUGGGUUACACGGGCUAGGCUGAUUUGGGCAUGUGGGCCACACACGGGACAACUACACAGGCG
rnacentral:lncRNA from 1 species